ACAAGCGGAGGAGCAUGUGGUUUAAUUCGAUGAUACGCGAGGAACCUUACCUGGGCUCGAACGUAAGAUGACUGUAGGUGAAAGCUUACAUCUCUUCGGAGCAUUUUACGAGGUGCUGCAUGGUUGUCGUCAGCUCGUGCCGUGAGGUGUCGGGUUAAGUCCCAUAACGAGCGCAACCCCUACCUUAGUUGCCAUCAGGUUAAGCUGGGGACUCUAAAGGAACUGCCUACGCAAGUAGUGAGGAAGGCGGGGAUGACGUCAAAUCAGCACGGCCCUUACGUCCAGGGCUACACACGUGCUACAAUGGCCGAUACAGAGGGCAGCUACCUGGUGACAGGAUGCAAAUCUCCAAAGUCGGUCUCAGUUCGGAUCGGAGUCUGCAACCCGACUCCGUGAAGUUGGAUUCGCUAGUAAUCGCGCAUCAGCCAUGGCGCGGUGAAUACGUUCCCGGGCCUU
rnacentral:rRNA from 1 species